rnacentral:misc_RNA from 1 species
GAUGAAGAACGUAGCGAAAUGCGAUAAGUAGUGUGAAUUGCAGAAUUCAGUGAAUCAUCGAAUCUUUGAACGCACAUUGCGCCCCUUGGUAUUCCAUGGGGCAUGCCUGUUCGAGCGUCAUUUGUACCUUCAAGCUCUGCUUGGUGUUGGGUGUUUGUCUCGCCUCUGCGUGUAGACUCGCCUCAAAACAAUUCGCAGCCGGCGUAUUGAUUUCGGAGCGCAGUACAUCUCGCGCUUUGCACUCAUAACGACGACGUCCAAAAGUACAUUUUUACACUCUUGACCUCGGAUCAGGUAGGGAUACCCGCUGAACUUAAGCAUAUCAAUAAGCGGAGGA